GUCCUCGUAGCUCAAUGGAUGGAGCAAGCGGCCUCUACCCGCUCGGUUGCAGGUUCAAAUCCUGCCGAGGACA
rnacentral:tRNA from 1 species